rnacentral:rRNA from 1 species
UACGUAGGGGGCUAGCGUUAUCCGGAGUUACUGGGCGUAAAGGGUGCGUAGGUGGUUUCUUAAGUCAGAGGUGAAAGGCUACGGCUCAACCGUAGUAAGCCUUUGAAACUGGGAAACUUGAGUGCAGGAGAGGAGAGUGGAAUUCCUAGUGUAGCGGUGAAAUGCGUAGAUAUUAGGAGGAACACCAGUUGCGAAGGCGGCUCUCUGGACUGUAACUGACACUGAGGCACGAAAGCGUGGGGAGCAAACAGGAUUAGAUACCCCUGUAGUCCCUGAG